rnacentral:rRNA from 1 species
CCUACGGGGGGCAGCAGUGAGGAAUAUUGGUCAAUGGACGAGAGUCUGAACCAGCCAAGUAGCGUGAAGGAUGACUGCCCUAUGGGUUGUAAACUUCUUUUAUAUGGGAAUAAAAUGUUCCACGUGUGGGAUUUUGUAUGUACCAUAUGAAUAAGGAUCGGCUAACUCCGUGCCAGCAGCCGCGGUAAUACGGAGGAUCCGAGCGUUAUCCGGAUUUAUUGGGUUUAAAGGGAGCGUAGGUGGAUUGUUAAGUCAGUUGUGAAAGUUUGCGGCUCAACCGUAAAUUUGCAGUUGAAACUGGCAGUCUUGAGUACAGUAGAGGUGGGCGGAAUUCGUGGUGUAGCGGUGAAAUGCUUAGAUAUCACGAAGAACUCCGAUUGCGAAGGCAGUUCACUGGACUGCAACUGACACUGAGGCUCGAAAGUGUGGGUAUCAAACAGGAUUAGAUACCCCUGUAGUC